UACGGGGGGGGCAAGCGUUGUUCGGAAUUACUGGGCGUAAAGCGCGUGUAGGCGGCUGGUUAGGUGUGAUGUGAAAUCCUCGGGCUCAACCCGAGAACUGCAUUGCAAACCGGCCUGGCUAGAGUGCAGGAGAGGGAAGCGGAAUUCCAGGUGUAGCGGUGAAAUGCGUAGAUAUCGGGAGGAACACCAGUGGCGAAGGCGACUACCUGGCCUGUUUCUUGACGCUGAGGCGCGAAAGCUAGGGGAGCAAACGGG
rnacentral:rRNA from 1 species